GAUGAACGCUAGCUUCAGGCUUAACACAUGCAAGUCGAGGGGUAACGAGAGGAAAGCUUGCUUUCCUUGCCGACGACCGGCGCACGGGUGAGUAACGCGUAUCCAACCUGCCCCCAACUAGGGAAUAACCUUGCGAAAGUAAGACUAAUACCCUAUAAUUUCCUCAGAUGACAUCUGACGAGGAAUAAAGAUUUAUCGGUUGUGGAUGGGGAUGCGUCUGAUUAGCUUGUUGGCGGGGUAACGGCCCACCAAGGCAACGAUCAGUAGGGGUUCUGAGAGGAAGGUCCCCCACAUUGGAACUGAGACACGGUCCAAACUCCUACGGGAGGCAGCAGUGAGGAAUAUUGGUCAAUGGGCGGAAGCCUGAACCAGCCAAGUAGCGUGCAGGAUGACGGCCCUAUGGGUUGUAAACUGCUUUUAUACAGGAAUAAAGUUAGCCUCGUGUGGUUAUUUGUAGGUACUGUAUGAAUAAGGACCGGCUAAUUCCGUGCCAGCCGCCGCGGAAA
rnacentral:rRNA from 1 species